CAUCCAGUGGCAUCUUAGGAAAAUAAACACAACCCUUCUUACCUUUCAUGCCAAACUUGGAGUGUCUUGCCAACUUUAGCAGAAAUAGCAUUACCAGUAGACAAAAUCCCACUACAGAUGCAAUUACCACCACAGCAUAGACC